AAAUAUGCUUUUCUUUUUUUCCAAAAUAUGAUAAUUUCUUUGUUCAAAUUAUGUCAGUUUGAAAAGUAAAAGAAAGGUAAGAAAAGUUCCCAGGAAAUUGUGCAAGACCACCUCUCCUGCCCUGUAUUAGUACGUUAUCCUGACAAGCCCGCUCGAGGUGCAUUUCGAGGGCGUCUCAGGAGUACAAAAAAAUUGUAUUCCCUAUCAGGCAUUUCAGA